GACGAAGGUGGCGAGCGUUGUUCGGAAUCACUGGGCAUAAAGCGCACGUAGGCGGCGACGUAAGUUGGGUGUGAAAUCCCUCGGCCCAACCGAGGAACUGCGCCCAGUACUGCGUUGCUUGAGGAUCCAAGGGGUGCAUGGAAUUCCCGGUGGAGCGGUGAAAUGCGUUGAUAUCGGGAGGAACACCGGUGGCGAAGGCGGUUCUCUGGGCCUGUUCUGACGCUGAGGAGCGAAAGCGUGGGGAGCGAACAGG
rnacentral:rRNA from 1 species